CGGGUGAGUAACACGUGGAUAACCUACCUAUAAGACUGGGAUAACUUCGGGAAACCGGAGCUAAUACCGGAUAAUAUUUUGAACCGCAUGGUUCAAAAGUGAAAGACGGUCUUGCUGUCACUUAUAGAUGGAUCCGCGCUGCAUUAGCUAGUUGGUAAGGUAACGGCUUACCAAGGCAACGAUGCAUAGCCGACCUGAGAGAGUGAUCGGCCACACUGGAACUGAGACACGGUCCAG
rnacentral:rRNA from 1 species